rnacentral:misc_RNA from 1 species
AGAAUUGACAAAAUUGUCACUGCUAUAACAAUAAUGUAAACAAAUAUUUUUCUCGUGGAUACUGCCGAUAUUAGUUUUUUUUAUAUAAAUAAAUAUAAAUAUUGCAAAUAGGCGAAAAGAAUUAUUCGAGAAAAUAAUCUUGAUUGUGAUAUCAAGAGAAAAUAGUUUCUUUAUUUGGCAAUAUUUUGUUGAUUAGUCGAUUUGAUAAAAUAUGGAAAAGGAGCGCAACAAGAGGCCUAUUCGGAUAAAGAUAAUAAGCAUGGGUAAUGCAGAGGUCGGAAAGAGUUGUAUUAUAAAGCGAUAUUGCGAAAAGAGGUUCGUUCACAAAUAUUUAGCAACGAUCGGCAUCGAUUACGGAGUGACGAAAGUGACGGUGAAAAAUAGAGAAGUUAAAGUAAACAUUUUCGAUAUGGCCGGUCAUUCAAUAUUCUACGACGUCCGAAACGAAUUCUAUAAAGAUACGCAAGGGGCUUUACUGGUCUAUGACGUAUCAGAUCGGAGUAGCUUUGAAUCCCUCGAUCACUGGUUGACAGAAAUGAGAAAUGAAAUAGGAAAUGCUUCGGAAAUGCAGAACGUGUUCUACGUUGUUUGUGCAAACAAGACUGAUUUAAAGAGAAAAGUCGACGAAUCCGACGGUAGACUCUGGGCAGAUUCUAAGGGAUUUAGGUACUUUGAAAUGUCUGCUCAAACUGGUGAAGGGAUUACGGAAAUGUUUCAAGUGGGAAUCUUUCAAUUAUAGUUUGACACUAGCACUAGAAAUGAAUAGUGAAUAGUGAAUAGUAUAGAUAAUAACAAUUUUUAUUUAAUGGUUAUUCUCUGCUUUUUCUCCUUUAAAAUAUACAACAGGAACUCUUCGAGGGUGUUCUUCAUAUGGUAGAGAAUGGAGGUAAAUUAAAGCUGCCUUCGACCCAACUUGGUUACAGUAAGGAGCAAGCGGAGGCUAUUUAUCAAUUGAAAAAUGCCAAGGAUAACUAUGAACGAUUGGGACUAAUUCCUGGAGCGACAAAAGACGAUAUAAAUAAUGCCUACAGGAGGUUAGCGAAGCUUCUUCAUCCCGACAAAAGUGUUGCACCCGGAUCAGAAGAAGCCUUCAAAAUUUUAGUAUCAGCAAGAACAUCUUUGUUAAAAAACGUUCGAUAAACCGGUAAUUGAAACUCGCGCCAAAAGUAAAAUAAAAAUAUUUUUUUUCCAUUUCCAAUAGUAAAUUAGGUGGAUUUAUUUUUCAAUAAAACCUACCGCUGUAUUAUAUGACACUAUUUGCGUAGACGCUACAAACGUACAUGCUAUGGCUUAUCAAUUUCAAUAAUGUGUUUGUUCAUUCCCUCUAGCCGUGCGUUGACUAUUAUAUUUGCUUGCUAUUAAAACUUGUACAAAAAAAUUGAUGCACUAUAUCGAUUGUCCCACAGAAAUUAUUACGUAAACGAAUUAAGGACCGAUGGAAAGAGGGGAAGAAGUAUUCUUCAAGAGAAUAAAGCAAACCGCCUUUUCUCGUUUAGCCUUUUAAUUUAUAAGUUUGUUGGCCUAACUAAUAGCAAAAUAGAUAAAUCUUCAAUUGAUUGCUCAGCCACGUAGAGUGCGUUAAGCGUCACAAUAACUUUUUAAACGACCUAUAGAUAGACGCACACAUAUCGAGGCCAGCUCUGCUAGUUGGCUACAUUCUCUCUCUCUCUCUCUCUUUUUUUUAUAGAUUUAAAGUGUCAAAAUGUUAAAAGAUACAGUAUUUGCUCUACAUAACUAAAUAUACAAUAUAUUUAUAUUUAUAUCUCCUGUAACUGUAUAUAUAUGAUAUAUUUAUAUUUAUAUUGCUCAGGCUAUAUUUAUAUAUUUAAUAUAAGCACACGUUUUUCAUUUCUCACUCUUAAGCUCCCUCUCUGUCUCUCUCGAUCUAUCUAUUUAUCUUUUAUUCAUUUUCUAUUCCAACUGUUACUACUUUUUCUCUGUUGUCUAACCGUUAAUACUCUCAGCUACUCGCUUUUCUCUCUUUGUCUCUAUCCUACUUAAUCUGUAACAACUCUUUAAGAAUAUUAUCCAAUACUCUCAUUUAAAAAGGUCAAAUUAAAGGAAAAGUCACACAGUUUUUGCUUUUAAUUGACCGCUAGGCAAUCAAUGCAUAAACGAAAUUCAAGAAGAGACGCAAUAAAAGCGAAGGAAUAAUCCAUUUUCUUUUCUAUUCGACGCGCAAAAGCCGAGCUUCUUGAUUUAUUAAUACGGUAAAGGAUCAUUAGAAAAGAAACAGAACAAAUUUUCUUUCAUUUUCAGAUGUUUGUUCCUCGAACCUAAAUUCUCGACGGAAGAAAACAUAGGACAAAUUCUAAUUUGCAAUGCAAUUUGUUGCUUUUUUUGAAAUAGACAUCUUGCGUAAUUUAUAAACUUUAUACAGCAGAACAAGCAUUCCAAUAGAAAGAUAAAGAGAGGGAGGGAACGAGGAAGGGGGGCGAGAGGUGGAAAAGGAUGUGGGGGGGAGGUGAGGGUAGAAGAUAGAUAGCUAGAUAGCUAGAUAGAUAGAGAGAUAGAUAGAUGGAAGCAGAGAGAAAUAUGAAAAUAGAAGGAAAGAAAGGGAAGAAAAUAGCUAUAUAAACACAAUCUAAUUAAAGAAACAUUUACUGUCUAAUAAAUACCGAGUAUUUUAUAUUAAGUAUUCAGUAUAUAUAAUAUCCUAUAUAAACGUAUAUUAUAUAAAUAAACGUACAUAAUCAAAACAA